rnacentral:rRNA from 1 species
AGAGUUUGAUCAUGGCUCAGGACGAACGCUGGCGGCGUGCUUAACACAUGCAAGUCGAGCGGAAAGGCCCUUCGGGGUACUCGAGCGGCGAACGGGUGAGUAACACGUGAGCAACCUGCCCCUGGCUCUGGGAUAGCUCCGGGAAACCGGGAUUAAUACCGGAUAUGACCUGCUUACGCAUGUUUGCGGGUGGAAAGUUUUUCGGCUGGGGAUGGGCUCGCGGCCUAUCAGCUUGUUGGUGGGGUGAUGGCCUACCAAGGCGACGACGGGUAGCCGGCCUGAGAGGGCGGGCGGCCACACUGGGACUGAGACACGGCCCAGACUCCUACGGGAGGCAGCAGUGGGGAAUAUUGCGCAAUGGGCGGAAGCCUGACGCAGCGACGCCGCGUGGGGGAUGAAGGCCUUCGGGUUGUAAACCUCUUUCACCAGGGGCGAAGCGAAAGUGACGGUACCUGGAGAAGAAGCGCCGGCUAACUACGUGCCAGCAGCCGCGGUAAUACGUAGGGCGCAAGCGUUGUCCGGAAUUAUUGGGCGUAAAGAGCUCGUAGGCGGCCAGUUGCGUCUGCUGUGAAAUCCCGGGGCUUAACCCUGGGCGUGCAGUGGAUACGGGCUGGCUGGAGGCAGGCAGGGGAGAAUGGAAUUCCCGGUGUAGCGGUGAAGUGCGCAGAUAUCGGGAGGAACACCGGUGGCGAAGGCGGUUCUCUGGGCCUGUUCUGACGCUGAGGAGCGAAAGCGUGGGGAGCGAACAGGAUUAGAUACCCCCGUAGUCC